GUAAGUUUUAACAUUUAUUGUAGUUUUAUGAGCCUAAAGUGAACAAUAAAGGGAUCAAUUGAUGUGCUGGGUGCGUUUCACAUUUCCUAUGUCUGUUUUUUUGCUAUAUUACUUUGUCUUUCUUAAUAACAAGACUUUCAUGUCCGGUUAAUCUGGAGAUGGAGUCUUUGGUCUUUAACUUGUUUUGUCCUCUGGUUGUACACUUUGUACAGCCCGAGGACCCCAUGUUUUCUUUUUUUUUUUUUUAAAGGAUACACGGCACACCAUGCUAAGACAUAUCACAUUUUCAGCUUAUAGCUCUUUGGGAAUCAAAUGCGGCAGUUUGCUGAUUUCCGCCUGAUGGCCUGGCGCAGCAGGUAGGGGCGAACUCUAUGUCUGAGUUGGUCUUUGCUCAAGCAGUCCAGAAAUGGCUCAGAUAUGAUCCAGAUCGUACGGGUGGCGCGCAGGACGCACAUCAUCCAUCCCCAUCCCGGAGUAAAUAAUAAAAAGUGACGUGAAACAUAGAAAUGUAAAUAGGAAACUUUGUCUUUUAAUAAAGUAUUUUGCAAAUGAUACAUGUCUAUUGACCUUUUUGUUUUUUU
ensembl:lncRNA